AUACGGAGGGUGCAAGCGUUACUUGGAAUCACUGGGCGUAAAGCGCGCGCAGGCGGCUAUUUAAGUUGGAUGUGAAAGCCUACGGCUCAACCGUAGAACUGCAUCCAAAACUAUUUAGCUAGAGUGUGGGAGAGGAAGAUGGAAUUAGUUGUGUAGGGGUAAAAUCCGUAGAGAUAACUAGGAAUACCAAAAGCGAAGGCAAUCUUCUGGAACACUACUGACGCUGAGGCGCGAAAGCGUGGGGAGCAAACGGGAUUAGAAACCCGAGUAGUCC
rnacentral:rRNA from 1 species